rnacentral:rRNA from 1 species
GGAGGAUCCAAGCGUUAUCCGGAAUCAUUGGGUUUAAAGGGUCCGUAGGCGGUCUUAUAAGUCAGUGGUGAAAGCCCAUCGCUCAACGAUGGAACUGCCAUUGAUACUGUAAGGCUUGAAUUAUUGUGAAGUAACUAGAAUAUGUAGUGUAGCGGUGAAAUGCUUAGAUAUUACAUGGAAUACCAAUUGCGAAGGCAGGUUACUAACAAUGGAUUGACGCUGAUGGACGAAAGCGUGGGGAGCGAAC